GCUUCCAGUGUUUUGAAGAAAUUUCAGAUGCAUAGCCUUUUGGCCAGGUGUCUGUGAUUUCAUAUUGUCAGAGCAUUUCUUGUAAUGCUGGGGGUUGCAGCUCUCUUAAAGUUUACAUUGCUGAACCAAGAAAGCAGAUAUAUGUAGAUUUCUACAGAAACUAUGAUUCCAUGAAAGAUUUUGAGGAGGUGAAGAGGGCUGGUACCUUUCAGAGUGCAAAGUGA
rnacentral:lncRNA from 1 species